ensembl:lncRNA
CUAAAAUGCAAAACACAAGUGCAGCAGGACAGAGAGGAUUCAUGGAAGAAAUUAUUGUUUUAUAAUGAGGAGAACAAGAAGCUACUCUCUGACAUGGUUGGUGUUUCAGAGAGGGAUGUGACGAUGAAGAGGCAGCUGGUGGAGGAUCUCAGAUGCAGACUAUAGAUCUGCCAGAACACUGAGACGAGCCACAGAUCAGCGGCUGAAGACUUGGAGAAGAAAGAAGAUGGAAUCUCUCACUGAUGAGGCAGCUUACCGAAGAGAAGAUUGACAGAUGCCACUGCAGAACAAAACCAGCAUGAGGCAACCAGCCAAAAACUCAAAGAAGAGCUUCAGAGAAAGGUUCAAGAGCAUCUGUACAUCACUCAGGAAUCGUAAUGCUUUUUUUGGGCUUGUCCUGCGUUGUAUUGCAGGAUGGCUUUUUCUUUCUCUUUCUUUAUUCACCUAAUUACCAUCAGUCUCGUUUGAUGUUUGGCGCCAAAUGCCAUACUUUGCCCCAGUUUCAUCGUUCAGUUCAUUCUAUCCGUUAUAUACUAUCUCCUAAUUGGUGAAACGCUUGUUAAGUGUGUUUAUUCCUCAGGAGCAGAGAAUGGCCGUCCUAGUCAUCACUGGGAAUGUAACGAUUCACUCAACUCGAUUUAUUUUUCUUUUUUUACAAAAUUAGAUUUAAGACAAAUUAUAAAUUAAAUGUGUCCUUUUAUUAUUGCUUGGACAAAAUGCUGCAUGUUUCUUUGUGAAAUUGAAAUGUAACACUAUAAUAAUAUACUAAAAUAGCACUUAUCACUGUUCUUUUGUUGGUUUUGAUUGCUUCUAUUGUCCUCAUUUGUAAGUCGCUUUGGGUUGAAGCAUCUGCUAAAUGACUAAAUCUAAAUAUAAUGUAAAUGUAAAUAACAAAACUAAAUUGAAAUUUAAAAAUAAGUAACACAAAUAAAAGAAAUCUUGGUCUGUGCUCUUUCCAUUUAAAAUGAGAGGCAACCACUGCAUUUUAAUCAUGAGCAGUUUUUAAUCUAAAUUAGAUUGUAUAACUUUAAAUUUAAAGCAAAAACAGAAUGGUUUGACUUCAGUUUUGUGAAACUAUACAUAAAAAAUAUUUGCAUGAAGCAGAAACUGAAACAGCAGAUGAGCUGAACGAGACGCAGAUUCACUCUCUGCCAGCAG